rnacentral:lncRNA from 1 species
UGGGUGAGAAGUUUAGGUGUUGUAUUUGUACCAUGCAACUACAUAAACACAGAAGGAGCCAGUUAACCAAUGAAUUGCAGGAAUGAGAAGCAUAUUUAACACACUGGGAAUGGACUGUGCUGCGUAUUUCAUAUCCAAGAAGGCAUGAUAAUAGCAGAUUUAAAUAAGAAGAUACUUGGCAAUGUCAAUGUAUUUUUCAUCAGAGAAAUUCUCACCCCGCAUGCCCAGGAACAAAGGUGACCACAAGGCCAUAACGCUCUUCCUUUGGUGAGGACAAGGAUUCAGAAGUGAGGAAAGCAAGCCUUGGAUUAAACCUGCA